rnacentral:rRNA from 1 species
GAUGAACGCUGGCGGCGUGCCUAAUACAUGCAAGUCGAGCGAAUUGAUUAGAAGCUUGCUUCUAUGACGUUAGCGGCGGACGGGUGAGUAACACGUGGGCAACCUGCCUGUAAGACUGGGAUAACUUCGGGAAACCGAAGCUAAUACCGGAUAGGAUCUUCUCCCUCAUGGGAGAUGAUUGAAAGAUGGUUUCGGCUAUCACUUACAGAUGGGCCCGCGGUACAUUAGCUAGUUGGUGAGGUAACGGCUCACCAAGGCAACGAUGCAUAGCCGACCUGAGAGGGUGAUCGGCCACACUGGGACUGAGACACGGCCCAGACUCCUACGGGAGGCAGCAGUAGGGAAUCUUCCGCAAUGGACGAAAGUCUGACGGAGCAACGCCGCGUGAGUGAUGAAGGCUUUCGGGUCGUAAAACUCUGUUGUUAGGGAAGAACAAGUACGAGAGUAACUGCUCGUACCUUGACGGUACCUAACCAGAAAGCCACGGCUAACUACGUGCCAGCAGCCGCAGUAACAC